rnacentral:lncRNA from 1 species
GUGGCAUAGCAGGCAGACUCAGAAUAUAAACAGGGACAAGCAGAGCAUCGAUCUCUGCAUCCUCCUCUCUUCUCUGUAGUCGCCAUUUGAUCACUGGCAAGAGAGGGAGCAUACAGCCAGCAUCACCAAUAAACACCGUCUUGGCUCCUUUGCUCAUCCCUCCUCCCUCUCCACAACUGGAUUCCAGGAGUAUGGUUCACUGCUUAGCUGUGGGUGCCUGUUUCUGCUUCAAACAACUACCGGAUGAAGGCUCCUCUAGGAAUGGUAACCAAGAUCCAUUCCUCCUCUGUUGCCCACCCUCUGACAGGAUGCAUAAAUCCCAGGGUUAACUGAAAACUACAAAAGUCAUACUGCCGUGGCAACUCUAGUACAAGGCGGAGAUUGACUAUCCAACCCAGACCUACGCUUCCUACAUAUGGCAGGAAGGAGUCUCGGGGAGGCCCCUUCCACAGUGGAACAAGAGUCUCCGUGUAAAAAAACUGUGUAAAAGAUGCAAUGUCUCACUGCUAUAAGAACUUGCUGCAAGCGUCAAAAUACUACCUUAAGGUUCUUCAGAGGUCAGAUGCUUGAAUUAAGUCUCAUCAGGCUAAUAUCAAGGGGCAGAAGAGCCGUGAUCCUCUGAAAGUUCUAUGCAAAUCUGUAUUUACUUACUUUUUCCAGGCUUUAUUUUAUGUAUGUAUGUACAUGUGCAUGUAUGUGUUUGAUUUUUUUGAUGUAUGUGUAUUCUUUUUUUUUUUUUGAGAAAAGGAAAUCAAGAUAUAGACCAAGCUUUCUUUGAGUAGGAUUUUAAGAUUCUACCAUUGUCAACUUAAUUUUGCUGAUGGGUAAAUAUCAUAUUUAAAUGUAGAGCUUAAUAAAUAAGUUUUGAGCCUGAC